CACUCAUAGACAUCAUCUCCUCAACAUCAUGUCUUGGACUAUACACAUGAGUGUUGUGCAUCUCUCUCAUUGUUCCCUUGUGUUUGGCAAAAAUGGAGCCGGCCAAUUAUGUUGGCAUGACAAUUUCGGCCAGCCAUUUUCCUCCUCACUUUCUUCCUCCACAAGACUUGCCUCCCACCUAACCCAGUCAUUAAAUGGACAGCCACCCACCUUAGCCAAUCAAAAAAGGAGGCAGCCACCCCUCUCCCUCUAUAAAACCCCCCCUUGGCCGGCCACCUCCACCUUUGGCUCUCAUUUUCCACUCCCCACUCAUUCCCUCACUCCCUCACACCCUUCUCCUACCUCUCCCCACGAAAAUACUGCUCCCCUAGCUUCCAUGGCCGGCCAUGGCCAUGGAAAGCCACCAAGAUGAAGCUCCCCUUCUCCCUCAAGCUUCCCCUCACCAUGAGAGCCUCCCUCUCCAUCUUCUCCCCAACCCUAGAUGGUUUAAUCUCAUCUUCUUCUUCCUCCAUUGCUAAGAUUGGAUCUUGAUGCAGGUGCAUGUUGAUCCAAGCAUGGAGAAGCUUGAGCAAUCCUCAGAUCUGAAGUUCUUGAGCAAAAUCCAAAUCGAGUGAUUCAAAGUUCCGCGGAUAGGUAUUCAAAAGAUCUACAACUUGGCGUUGGUCUCAUCCUCAAAUUCGUUACAGAUACUCCCUGAUCAAAAUCUGGUCAGAUCUGACUUUGUCGAAUUAAACCAGGAGCUUGGAAACGAAUUUUGGAAUGAAACCAAUUGGCUUGAGUUUUCAAAUGAUGUGUGAUGGCGUGUAUUUCACACGUUCGUUGGGCAACCCCAAGAGGAAGGUAUGAUGCGCACAGCAGCAAGUUUUCCCUCAGAAAGAAACCAAGGUUUAUCGAACCAGGAGGAGCCAAGAAGCACGUUGAAGGUUGAUGGCGGCGAGAUGUAGUGCGGCGCAACACCAGGGAUUCUGGCGCCAACGUGGAACCUGCACAACACAACCAAAGUACUUUGCCCCAACGAAACAGUGAGGUUGUCAAUCUCACCGGCUUGCUGUAACAAAGAGUUAACCGUAUUGUGUGGAAGAUGAUUGUUUGCAGAAAACAGUAGAACAAGUAUUGCAGUAGAUUGUAUUUCAGUAAAGAGAGUUGGACCGGGGUCCACAGUUCACUAGAGGUGUCUCUCCCAUAAGACGAACAGCAUGUUGGGUGAACAAAUUACA